rnacentral:rRNA from 1 species
GACGAACGCUGGCGGCGUGCUUAACACAUGCAAGUCGAGCGGUAACACUUCGGGUGACGAGCGGCGGACGGCUGAGUAACGCGUAGGAACGUACCCCAAGUGAGGGAUAAGCACCAGAAAUGGUGUCUAAUACCACAUGUGAUCCACGGAUUAAAGCCUUCGGGCGCUUUGGGAACGGCCUGCGUAUGAUUGGCUUGUUGGUGAGGUAAAAGCUCACCAAGGCGACGAUCANAGCUGGUCUGAGAGGAUGAUCAGCCAGACUGGGACUGAGACACGGCCCAGACUCCUACGGGAGGCAGCAGUAGGGAAUUUUCCACAAUGGGCGAAAGCCUGAUGGAGCAACGCCGCGUGCAGGAUGAA